rnacentral:misc_RNA from 1 species
CAGCCGCGUAAUUCCAGCUCCAAUAGCGUAUAUUAAAGUUGUUGCAGUUAAAAAGCUCGUAGUUGAAUUUCGGGAUCAAAUUGUUGGUCGUGCUUCGGUACGCACUGGCAUUAUUGGUUCCUACCUUCUGAAGAACCGCGAUGUCAUUAAUUUGGUGUCGUGGGGAAUCAGGACUGUUACUUUGAAAAAAUUAGAGUGUUUAAAGCAGGCUUACGCUUGAAUACAUUAGCAUGGAAUAAUGAAAUAGGACGUUUGAUUCUAUUUUGUUGGUUUCUAGGAUCGACGUAAUGAUUAAUAGGGAUAGUUGGGGGCAUUAGUAUUCAAUUGUCAGAGGUGAAAUUCUUGGAUUUAUUGAAGACUAACUACUGCGAAAGCAUUUGCCAAGGAUGUUUUCAUUAAUCAAGAACGAAAGUUAGGGGAUCGAAGACGAUCAGAUACCGUCGUAGUCUUAACCAUAAACUAUGCCGACUAGGGAUCGGAUGAUGUUAAUUUUUUAAUGACUCAUUCGGCGCCUUACG